CUUAUACUCCCUCCGUCCAAAAAUACUUGUCUUAGAAAUAGAUGUUUCUAUACUUAUUUUAGUUUUAGAUACAUUCAUUUUGUACAUUUUUAGAACAAGUAUUUUCGGACGGAGGAAUAUUUA
rfam:Hordeum vulgare subsp. vulgare, WGS project CAJW01000000 data, contig: morex_contig_158465